AACCAGUUGAACAUGUAUGUUGCAACUGAUGGGAAGGUAGGUAUCUGUGUGGCACCAAUUAUAACACUGAUCCAGGAGGCCAACAUUUGGCUGUAGUGAUGUUUACAAAACACUGAAGUUAAAGGGACACUAUAAUCACCAAGACAUCUUUAGCUUAAUACAGCCAUUUGAAUGUAUAGAUCAUGUUCCUGCAGUCUCAAUGCUCAAUUCCCUGCCACUCAGAAGUUAAAAACGUUGUUUAUGUAGCCCUAGCCACACCUCCCUGCAUGUGACUUACACAGCCUUCCUAACACUUCCUGUAAAG